rnacentral:rRNA from 1 species
AUUGAACGCUGGCGGCAGGCCUAACACAUGCAAGUCGAACGAGUGGCGGACGGGUGAGUAAUGUCUGGGAAACUGCCUGAUGGAGGGGGAUAACUACUGGAAACGGUAGCUAAUACCGCAUACCAUCGGAUGUGCCCAGAUGUGAUUAGCUAGUCGGUGGGGUAAAGGCUCACCAAGGCGACGAUCCCUAGCUGGUCUGAGGGGAUGACCAGCCAAACUGGAACUGAGACACGGUCCAGAAUCCUACGGGAGGCAGCAGUGGGUAAUAUUGCACAAUGGGCGAAAGCCUGAUGCAGCCAUGCCGCGUGUAUGAAGAAGGCCUUCGGUUUGGAAAGUACUUUCAGCGGGGAGGCGUUACCCGCAGAAGAAGCACCGGCUAACGCCGUGCCAGCAGCCGCGGUAAUAC